UACGUAGGGUGCAAGCGUUAAUCGGAAUUACUGGGCGUAAAGCGUGCGCAGGCGGUUUUGUAAGUCUGUCGUGAAAUCCCCGGGCUUAACCUGGGAAUGGCGAUGGAGACUGCAAGGCUAGAGUUUGGCAGAGGGGGGUAGAAUUCCACGUGUAGCAGUGAAAUGCGUAGAGAUGUGGAGGAACACCGAUGGCGAAGGCAAUCCCCUGGGCCUGCACUGACGCUCAUGCACGAAAGCGUGGGGAGCAAACAGG
rnacentral:rRNA from 1 species